CCUACGGGUGGCAGCAGUGGGGAAUAUUGCACAAUGGGGGAAACCCUGAUGCAGCAACGCCGCGUGAGUGAAGAAGGAUUUCGGUAUGUAAAGCUCUAUCAGCAGGGAAGAAGCAAGACGGUACCUGACUAAGAAGCCCCUGCUAACUACGUACCAGCAGCCGCGGUAAUACGUAGGGGGCGAGCGUUAGCCGGAUUUACUGGGUGUAAAGGGAGCGUAGGCGGUAUGGCAGGUCAGAAGUGAAAGCCAAUGGCUCAACCAGAGGAUUGCCUUUGAAACUGUCAGACGAGAGUGUGGGUGAGGUAGGCGGCAUUCGUGGUGUAGCGGUGAAAUGCGUAGAUAUUAGGAGGAACACCAGUGGCGAAGGCGGCUUACUAGGCAGUAACUGACGCUGAGGCUCGAAAGCGUGGGGAGCAAACAGGAUUAGAUACCCGUGUAGUC
rnacentral:rRNA from 1 species